AGUAAGAGAUCUGACUCCAGAGCUGAUGUUCGGGAGUUCCAAUCCGUCCUUG
rnacentral:tRNA from 13 species